GCGGGGGGGCGGGGGGGCACGACAGCGCGUGGGGGUGUGGCUUGACCGCUGCAGUUUGCUGCUUCGUGACUGGCUAGCGCGCUAUAGCUCCUUCAGGAAUAAAGCUACGCGUCAGGCUACCGGCUCUGACGUGAGGCGCGCAGUGAUGACGUGACGGGAGCCAUUUUGGAAGUUCGUUAUCUUUCGUUUGGUCUUCAGACGGGCGGCGUUCUCUAAUCGUUUCUUUUGGUCAAAUUCCUGAGAAGUGCUGUUCAAAAGGUCGUAAUACCUGAGUUCAGAAACCGCUUACAAUUGAGAAAAUGCCGCCUCUUGAAAUGGAUAUAGAAGUGGAAACCGAAGAGGUUUUAAGGAUGGACCAUCAUAUGGUACAGGAGCUUACAGACCUAUGCUCGAAGAUAAAGAGGCUACUGUCAGAGCACUUGGAAAAGUAUAAGAGAAUUGAAAGAGAACGGAAACAUGCAAACCCUGUCGGCCAGAAAAACGAAUUACAGAAAUAAAUGAAAAACAAAAGAAACUAAGCAUGAGGAAAAAAAGGGAAAAGAUAGAAGAGACAACUAGAGAAUCUGUCCAAGAGAUGCAAUCUACGCAUAAUAAGACUACCUGAAAUAGAUGACAAAGCAAUUGAAGCAGAGACAAAAUUUAGGAACCGAUAGUAGAAAAUUUUCCAGAUUUGAGGGACUAACUAGAUCGGCAAAUAGAAAAAAGCUCAUAGGCUACCAGAACUUAACGAAAAGAAAGCAACACUUAGACAUACCCUAGUGACGUUAAACUGGAAGAUAAAGAAAAAAUUCUACGAGUAUUUAGAGAAAGCACGUUACUCAUAAAGGGUUAAAAGACUGACCCGAAAUUUCUUUUGCAGCUCCGAAUGCCAAAAAGACAAGCAAUGUCUACAGAGGUUUAAGGGAAAAUAAUUUUGAGCCAAGAAUUCUGUAUCCUGCUCAAGUUAUUUCUAUACGAGGGCAACUGGAAGACAUUCACAGAUACUCAGGAGUUAAAGUAUAUUACCCAAAUGCUGCCCUUGAAAAAUUUGUUAAAUGAUGUUACUGCAACCCAUAAAAACCAUAAGUUAAAACAAUUCAAGAGUAGUGAAGCAAUUGUAUGAAAAAAAUAGGGUAAAAAAAAAAAAAGUGGGUAAGCAUUAAAGCUAGUUAAACAGCCUUAAGAUUAACUUGUUAGAUGUGGGGUUAUAAGACUAAGUGCAAAAAAUAGAUUUGGAAGUUCAAUGUAAAAUUUCACUUUCUCUCAUUUUAAACUGCAAAGGUGUGGUAAAUGUUUAAUUUAGAAAGCAAGUAAGAGCUGUUAUUUUUAGUAUGCAUUGUAGACAAAGAUAUGCAAGUUCUUCAGCUAAACAUAAGUAAAAUAAAAGGGCUUUGUCAGUGUGGUCAGGACACAGUAAAGGUAUUCCAAGUGUUAAUCUGACAAAAUGGAAAAUCGGUACAGUUUUGUGUCCUCUAUUUUUAAUUAUAGACGGGAAAAAAGUAGCAAUUUUAUCUGUAAUGUGAAUACUGUGUAAAAAGAAAAUUUCUAAAUCCUUGGUUGGGGAGGUGGUAGAUGAAAACUUUGUUUUGUGUACAUCUUGUCCAGAGAAAAGCAGUAGUUCCUGCUUCAGGUAGUAGUUCAUUAUAAGUAAAUUUGACACUGAGAUAAGGUUAUGGGUAAAUUAGAAUAUACCAGCUUUAUGGAUUGGAGAGGAAGUGUGAAAAACAGCAAGGAAACAAAGUCCUAGAAAUUGAAGUAGGAGCAACGUUCUUAUCAGAAUUUAAGCUAUAACAAAGUGUAAAGCUGUAGGAUGUAAUAUUUAAGCUUUAUGUGGUAAAUAAUGUGGCAUUCAUAUGUAAGAUGUUCAGUAUCUGAGUGGUAGUUUUACUGAUGUAUACAUAAGUCAUUUUAAAUGUAGACUUAAAAUUGUUGUGUUUGAUGUAUUUAAUAAAGUAAUUCUUAACAUA